UACGUAGGGGGCAAGCGUUUGUCCGGAAUCAUUGGGCGUAAAGAGCGUGUAGGCGGUUUGGUAGGUCCGCUGUGAAACUCGAGGCUCAACCUCGAGACGUCGGUUGAAACCGUAUGGCUAGAGUCCGGAAGAGGAGAGUGGAAUUCCCGGUGUAGCGGUGAAAUGCGCAGAUAUCGGGAAGAACACCCGUGGCGAAGGCGGCUCUCUGGGACGGUA
rnacentral:rRNA from 1 species